CCGUAGCUCAGUUGGUAGAGCAAUGGUUUCGUAAACCAUAGGUCAGGAGUUCGAUUCUCCUCGGU
rnacentral:tRNA from 1 species